AUGCUAUCUUUAUUAAAAAUGAACUCUUAAAGAAAAAUGCUUCUCUUGAAUCAGAACUUGUUAAGGAAAGAGAGAUAAUCAGAACUUGGACUAACUCAGGAAAGACUACUCAGAAUAUCUUAGAAAGUGGAAACUGGAAGAAAGGGUUAGGUUACUCUGAUAAAAAUGAAGCUGAGUCAUAUAAACAAGAAACCAUUAAAAUUGAAAAACCUAAGGUAGUUCCAGUAAGAUUUGUUGCAGAAUCAAA
rnacentral:lncRNA from 1 species